rnacentral:rRNA from 1 species
UACGUAGGGGGCGAGCGUUGUCCGGAAUCAUUGGGCGUAAAGAGCGUGUAGGCGGCCCGAUCAGUCUGGUGUGAAAUCUGGAGGCUCAACCUCCAGCUGUCAUCGGAUACUGUCGGGCUAGAAUCCGGAAGAGGAGAAUGGAAUUCCUGGUGUAGCGGUGAAAUGCGCAGAUAUCAGGAAGAACACCCGUGGCGAAGGCGGUUCUCUGGGACGGUACUGACGCUGAGACGCGAAAGCGUGGGGAGCGAACAGG